GGAAGGGGGUGACACAGUGACAGAGUGAGGGAGGGGGUGACUAGUGACAGAGUGAAGGAGGUGGUGACUGUCAAUAGUCACCCCCUUCCCUCCCUCACUCUGUCACUAGUCACCCCUCCCUCU